AUGCAAGUCGAACGAACUUAAUACAUUCUUUUAGAUUGUAAGCGGUUAGUGGCGGACUGGUGAGUAACGCGUGAGUAACCUGCCUAUUAGAGGGGAAUAACAGUGAGAAAUCAUUGCUAAUACCGCAUAUGCUCACAGUAUCGCAUGAUACAGUGAGGAAAGGAGCAAUCCACUAAUAGAUGGACUCGCGUCUGAUUAGCUAGUUGGUGAGGUAGAGGCUUACCAAGGCGACGAUCAGUAGCCGGACUGAGAGGUUGAACGGCCACAUUGGGACUGAGAUACGGCCCAGACUCCUACGGGAGGCAGCAGUCGGGAAUAUUGCGCAAUGGAGGAAACUCUGACGCAGUGACGCCGCGUAUAGGAAGAMGGUUUUCGGAUUGUMAACUAUUGUCGUUAGGGAAGAMAAAAGACAGUACCUAAGGAGGAAGCCCCGGCUAACUACGUGCCAGCAGCCGCGGUAAUACAUAGGGGGCAAGCGUUAUCCGGVAUUVUUGGGUGUVAAGGGUGCGUAGACGGGUGUUURASUUGGUUGUGAVAUCCCUCGGCUCAACUGAGGAACUGCGACCAARACUGGAUAUCUUGAGUGUCGGAGAGGAAAGUGGAAUUCCUAGUGUAGCGGUGARAUGCGUAGAUAUUAGGAGGAACACCAGUGGCGAAGGCGACUUUCUGGACGAUAACUGACGUUGAGGCACGAAAGUGUGGGGAGCAMACAGGAUUAGAUACCCUGGUAGUCCACACUGUAAACGAUGGAUACUAGUGUNAGGUGUUUBAGCAUCUGUGCCGCCGCAAACGCAUUAAGUAUCCCACCUGGGGAGUACGACCGCAAGGUUGAAAUUGAAAGGAAUUSACGGGGGCCCGCACAAGCAGUGGAGUAUGUGGYCUAAUUCGAAGCAACGCGAAGAACCUUACCAGGGCUUSACAUAUACAGGAAUAUGCUAGAGAUAGUAUAGCUCUUCGGMGCUBGUAUACAGGUGGUGCAUGGUUGUCGUCAGCUCGUGUCGUGAGAUGUUGGGUUAAGUCCCGCAACGAGCGCAACCCCUGUCGCUUAGUUGCCAGCACAUAAUGGUGGGAACUCUAAGGAGACUGCCGGUGAUAAAUCGGAGGAAGGUGGGGAUGACGUCAAAUCAUCAUGCCCUYUAUGUCCUGGGCUACACACGUACUACAAUGGCCGUGACAGAGAGAAGCAAAGUAGUGAUGCAGAGCAAAACUCUAAAAGCGGUCUCAGUUCGGAUUGAAGGCUSAAAUUCGCCUUCAUGAAGCUGGAAUUGCUAGUAAUGGCAGGUCAGCAUACUGCCGUGAAUACGUUCCCGGGCCUUGUACACACCGCCCGUCACACCAUGAGAGUUGGAAAUACCCGAAGCCUGUGAGCUMACUAUAUGAGGCAGCAGUCGAAGGUAGAGCC
rnacentral:rRNA from 1 species